rnacentral:rRNA from 1 species
UACGUAGGGGGCAAGCGUUGUCCGGAAUCAUUGGGCGUAAAGAGCGCGUAGGCGGUCCAGUAAGUCCGCUCUGAAAGUCCGGGGCUCAACCCCGGGAGGCGGGCGGAUACUGGCUGGGCUAGAGUCCGGGAAGAGGCGAGUGGGAAAUCCUGGUGUAGCGGUGAAAUGACGCAGAUAUCAGGGAGGGAAACACCCAAAUGG